UAGCUCAGUGGUUAAGAGCACUGGCUGCUCUUUCAGAGGUCCUGGGUUCAAUUCCCAG
rnacentral:tRNA from 1 species